UACGUAGGGUGCGAGCGUUAAUCGGAAUUACUGGGCGUAAAGAGUGUGUAGGCGGUUUUCUAAGUUUGGUGUGAAAUCUCCCGGCUUAACUGGGAGGGUGCGCCGAAAACUGGAAGGCUUGAGUGCCGGAGAGGAUAGCGGAAUUCCCGGUGUAGCGGUGAAAUGCGUAGACAUCGGGAGGAACACCUGCGGUGUAGACGGCUUACUGGACCGUAACUGACGCUGAGGCACGAAAGCGUGGGGAGCAAACAGG
rnacentral:rRNA from 1 species